AACUAGUUUUAGAUGCGUAAUCGUAAUUAGAUUUGUUAUUAAUUCGUAGCGUUAUCGAAUUUGCGUAGACUCGAAGGAGCGACUAUCGAUAAGGCUCGAGGCAAACGGAUCGAGAUAUUGUCAAGCUUAUUUGAAGAAUUUGGAUAGCAAGUGGGAUAGCAUGAUAUUAUUUGGAAAGUCAAGCUUCCGAAGUUUUAAUUUUCGGAAGUCAUUUGCACAAGAAGUGAAAGAAGGUUUUCAUUCUAGCAGUCCGCAGUAGUCUAGAUGUUUUUGUCUAUGUAUUUGACUAGCGCAUUUUAACUCUGAUAUUUUUGUAAAAUGGGGUCACAUGUAUUUUGAUAUAUGAAAAAAAUGAUUUGAUUUGCGAAAAA